GGAGAGGUGGCUGAGCGGUUGAAAGCGGCGGUCUCGAAAACCGUUGUGGGGGUAACUCCACCGGGGGUUCAAAUCCCCCCCUCUCCGCCA
rnacentral:tRNA from 1 species